rnacentral:rRNA from 1 species
AGGGCACCACCAGGAGUGGAGCCUGCGGCUUAAUUUGACUCAACACGGGAAAACUCACCCGGCCCGGACACUGGAAGGAUUGACAGAUUGAGAGCUCUUUCUUGAUUCAGUGGGUGGUGGUGCAUGGCCGUUCUUAGUUGGUGGAGUGAUUUGUCUGGUUAAUUCCGAUAACGAACGAGACUCUAGCCUACUAAAUAGAUCAUCGGCUUACAAACGCCGGCGAGACUUCUUAGAGGGACAGGCGGUGAUUCAACCGCACGAAACAGAGCAAUAACAGGUCUGUGAUGCCCUUAGAUGUCCGGGGCCGCACGCGCGCUACACUGAAGUGAUCAGCGUGCUUUUUCAACCUACUCUGUCAAGAGUGGGGAACCCAAUGAACCUUCUUCGUGAUUGGGAUAGGGGAUUGUAAUUGUUCCCCUUGAACGAGGAAUUCCCAGUAAGCGCGAGUCAUAAGCUCGCGUUGAUUACGUCCCUGCCCUUUGUACACACCGCCCGUCGCUACUACCGAUUGAAUGUUUU